rnacentral:rRNA from 1 species
GACGAACGCUGGCGGCGUGCUUAACACAUGCAAGUCGAACGGAAAGGCCCUGCUUUUGUGGGGUGCUCGAGUGGCGAACGGGUGAGUAACACGUGGGUAACCUGCCCUUGACUUUGGGAUAACUUCAGGAAACUGGGGCUAAUACCGGAUAGGAGCUCCUGCUGCAUGGUGGGGGUUGGAAAGUUUCGGCGGUUGGGGAUGGACUCGCGGCUUAUCAGCUUGUUGGUGGGGUAGUGGCUUACCAAGGCUUUGACGGGUAGCCGGCCUGAGAGGGUGAUCGGCCACAUUGGGACUGAGAUACGGCCCAGACUCCUACGGGAGGCAGCAGUGGGGAAUAUUGCACAAUGGGCGGAAGCCUGAUGCAGCAACGCCGCGUGCGGGAUGACGGCCUUCGGGUUGUAAACCGCUUUCGCCUGUGACGAAGCGUGAGUGACGGUAAUGGGUAAAGAAGCACCGGCUAACUACGUG